AUUCUCAGGCAGUUUUCUUUUUUCUUUCUUUUUUUUUUUUUGGAGGCUGAGUCUUGCUCUGUUGCCCAUGCUUUGCUGGAUCUCGGGUGACUGCAACCACUGCCUCCCAGGUUCAAGAGAUUCUCCUGCCUCAGCCUCCUGAGUAGCUGGGACUAGAGGCGUGUGUCACCACACCCAGCUAAGUUUUGUAUUUUUAGUAGAGAUGGGGUUUCACCAUGUUUGCCAGGAUGGUCUCUAUCUCCUGACCUUGUGAUCCACCCACCUCAGCCUCCCAAAGUGCUGGGAUUGCAGGUGGGAGCCACCGGGUCCAGCCUCUCCGGCGAUUUUCAUACCUGCAUACUCUGAUCACUACUCUGUUAAACAGUCAAGGAGGCUGAGUGCCACGUGCUGACGUCACUAAGAUCAAUACAGCAAACUCUGAAAGAUGGACAGAGAGACAGGAGAUGGUCCUUUAUAAUGCAGUGUGAUCUGUGCUGCAAUAGAGUUUUGGAAGCUAGAAGUUCAAAACGAGGUGUUGGCAGCACCAUGCUCUCUCUGAAGAUGCUAGGAAGAAUCUGCUCCAUGCCUUUCCAUUCGCUCCUGGGGUUUCCUGCAAGCCCUGACAUUCCUUGGCUUGUAGAUACACCACCCCAGUUUCCGCCCCCAUCAUCACAUGGCCUCCUCUCUGUGGGUGCCUCUGCGUUCCCUCUAUUCUUCUUCUAAGGACACCGACACCAGUCAUAGUGGAUUAAGGGUCCACUCCUAACUAAUUACAUCUGCAACCACCCUAUUUCCAAAUAAAGUCACAUUCUAAGAUUCCUAGGGAGAACAUGAAGUUUUGGGGGUGUGUGGAUACUGUUCAACCUGGGACAUGGAGUAAAUAAAUGGCAAGAAAGAUUACAGAUGACUUUAAGCUAAAGAGGGAGAUAGGGUUAAAUGUAGGACUUUUUUUUUUUUCCAGGACGGGAGAGGUUUAAACAUGUUACUACAUUGAAUAAAUGAAAUAACCA
ensembl:lncRNA LINC01961 long intergenic non-protein coding RNA 1961